CAUGGCUCAGGACGAACGCUGGCGGCGUGCCUAAUACAUGCAAGUCGAGCGAAGAGAUGGGAGCUUGCUCCCUGAUCUUAGCGGCGGACGGGUGAGUAACACGUGGGCAACCUGCCCUGCAGACUGGGAUAACUCCGGGAAACCGGAGUUAAUACCGGGUAAUACAUCGCACCGCAUGGUGCAAUGUUGAAAGUUGGCUUUCGAGCUAACACUGCAGGAUGGGCCCGCGGCGCAUUAGCUAGUUGGUAAGGUAAUGGCUUACCAAGGCGACGAUGCGUAGCCGACCUGAGAGGGUGAUCGGCCACACUGGGACUGAGACACGGCCCAGACUCCUACGGGAGGCAGCAGUAGGGAAUCUUCCGCAAUGGACGAAAGUCUGACGGAGCAACGCCGCGUGAGUGACGAAGGCCUUCGGGUCGUAAAGCUCUGUUGUUAGGGAAGAACAAGUACCGUUCGAAUAGGGCGGUACCUUGACGGUACCUAACCAGAAAGCCACGGCUAACUACGUGCCAGCAGCCGCGGUAAUACGUAGGUGGCAAGCGUUGUCCGGAAUUAUUGGGCGUAAAGCGCGCGCAGGCGGUCUUUUAAGUCUGAUGUGAAAGCCCACGGCUCAACCGUGGAGGGUCAUUGGAAACUGGAGGACUUGAGUGCAGAAGAGGAGAGUGGAAUUCCACGUGUAGCGGUGAAAUGCGUAGAUAUGUGGAGGAACACCAGUGGCGAAGGCGGCUCUCUGGUCUGUAACUGACGCUGA
rnacentral:rRNA from 2 species